UACGUAGGGGGCAAGCGUUGUCCGGAAUCAUUGGGCGUAAAGAGCGUGUAGGCGGCUCGAUAAGUCUGCUGUGAAAGUCCAGGGCUCAACCCUGGAAGGCCGGUGGAAACUGUCGGGCUAGAGUCCGGAAGAGGCGAGUGGAAUUCCCGGUGUAGCGGUGAAAUGCGUAGAUAUCUGGAGGAACACCGGUGGCGAAGGCGGCAUCCUGGACCAAUUCUGACGCUGAGGAGCGAAAGCCAGGGGAGCAAACGGG
rnacentral:rRNA from 1 species